ACGCAGCGGCGCCCGCGUUCACCCCGAAGCUCAAAGGACCUGGGCGUCGGGCGAGCUGCCCGGGCCGGGGAGAGGCCGGGGCGAGUGGGGAGAGCCCUAGAGAAACAUGGAGAAGGCAGGGCGAGAGCGCAGCGCGGCGGGGAGCGCGCCCGGGGCGGUCUAGACACGGCAGCGAGCGCCGGAGUAGCUGCAAACGGGUGUGAGCUGGAGCUGCCCCCGGUUCUGCAGAAGAAGGCAGCGCGCCUUCCCCGCGCUAUUGCAAGAACCCUCACCCCGCACGAGGGCAGGUGCUGUUCGGGAGGCUUGGCCGUACUUCCCUGCAAAGUGGAAACAGUCCGUAAAUUAUUAGAAUCCGGGAGCAUCAGGAGUGUGUGUGUGUGUGUGUGUGUGUGUGUGUGUGUGUGUGUGUUGGGGGGGGGGGUCAUUUCCCACCGGUGCGCCCACGUGCAAGCACGUUUCUUAAGUAAAUGAACGGCAGUUAGAGCCCUGCGUACCUACGCGUUUUCUAUCUUUUUAUUUCUCCUUUUUUUUUUUUUAAAGUGGGAGCAUAC
rnacentral:lncRNA from 1 species